UACAGAGGGUGCGAGCGUUGUUCGGAAUUAUUGGGCGUAAAGGGCGCGUAGGCGGCGCGGUAAGUCACCUGUGAAAUCUCCUGGCUCAACUGGGAGCUUGCAGGCGAAACUGCCGUGCUGGAGUGUGGGAGAGGUGCGUGGAAUUCCUGGUGUAGCGGUGAAAUGCGUAGAUAUCGGGAGGAACACCUGUGGCGAAAGCGGCGCACUGGACCACAACUGACGCUGAGGCGCGAAAGCUAGGGGAGCAAACAGG
rnacentral:rRNA from 1 species